CCAACUGUUUACCAAAAACAUAGCCUUUAGCCCAACAAGUAUUAAAGGUCCCGCCUGCCCAGUGACUAUUUAACGGCCGCGGUAUCCUAACCGUGCAAAGGUAGCAUAAUCACUUGUCCCCUAAAUAGGGACUAGAAUGAACGGCUAAAUGAAGACUAAACUGUCUCUUGCAGAAAGCCAAUGAAACUGAUCUUCCAGUCCAAAAGCUGAAAUGCUACCAUAAGACGAGAAGACCCUGUGGAGCUUUAAACCUCGACCACCAAACAUGUUCCUCCUGGUUUUUAGUUGGGGCGACUUCGGAGUACAAAACAACCUCCGACAACACCAUGCCUAGAUCCACACAUCAAAACAACCGCUUGACCCAGUAGUUUUAACUAAACUAUCUGAUCAAUGAACCAAGUUACCCCAGGGAUAACAGCGCUAUCCCCUUCUAGAGUCCUUAUCGACAAGGGGGCUUACGACCUCGAUGUUGGAUCAGGAGACCCUGAUAGUGCAGCCGCUAUCAAGGGUUCGUUUGUUCAACGAUUAAUAAUCCUACGUGAUCUGAGUUC
rnacentral:rRNA from 1 species